rnacentral:piRNA from 1 species
CAUGGUCUAGCGGUUAGGA